rnacentral:rRNA from 1 species
UACGUAUGGGGCGAGCGUUGUCCGGAAUUAUUGGGCGUAAAGGGUACGUAGGCGGUUAGAUAAGUCAGAUGUAAAAGCGUGGGGCUCAACCCCAUAAAGCAUUUGAAACUGUCUAAUUUGAGUAGUGGAGAGGAAAGUGGAAUUCCUAGUGUAGCGGUGAAAUGCGUAGAUAUUAGGAGGAAUACCAGUGGCGAAGGCGGCUUUCUGGCCAGCUACUGACGCUCAUGCGCGAAAGCUGGGGUAGCGAACCGGAUUAGAUACCCCGGUAGUCCCUGAG